rnacentral:RNase_P_RNA from 1 species
UGAGAGCGUUAGGCAAUCGCGGCCGUAUGUCGAAAGACAGCGGGUGAGGAAAGUCCGGGCUCCACAGGGCGAGGAUGCCGGGUAGUUCCCGGUUGAGGCGACUUUAAGGAAAGUGCAACAGAAAUAGACCGCCGUUUGAGGUAAGGGUGGAAAGGUGAGGUAAGAGCUCACCGACCGCGUGGUAACACGGGGUGCCAUGUAAACCCCAUCCGGAGCAACACCGUGGUGAGACAUAUGCGUGGCCCGCGCGUCUCGGGAGGUGGCUUGAAGGGUUCAGAGAUGAUCCCUCUAGAUAAAUGAUUGUCCACGACAGAACCCGGCUUAUCGAUGCUCUCAGAAC